GGGUCCGGACACACUGAGGAUUGACAGGCAAUUAUUGUGCUUUGUAACUUUUUUUAAGUUGCUUACACAACAACAAAUUAUGCUAGUCCUUUCAUGAUUAUGUGAUAGGUGGUGCAUGGCCGUUCUUAGUUCGUGGAGUGAUCUGUCUGCUUAAUUGCGUUUCAUCAGGGACCAUGUUUAUUUAUGUACUUUCUUACUCGCUUUUUAAGCACUUUUUGUGUUUUUUAAGCUUGUACUUUAGUGCAAUUGGUCCUGAAAGCAACGAACGUGACCGCAUCCUCUUGUUGCCUUUUUAACUUGAGUUGUUUACACUUCUCAUAACAUAAGAGGCUUUCCUAAAACUAGAGGGACCGCUGCGACUUUUUUAAACCAGAGGAAGGUUGCGGCAAUAACAGGUCUGUGAUGCCCUUAGAUGUUCCGGGCUGCACACGUGCUACAAUGAUUAUUGCAGUGAGCAUCUCAUUUUAUUUUUUGUGCUUGUCUUGUCUGACUCUUUUACGAGGGAAAGACGACAGCCUUAGCCUGCUUCGAAAGUUCGCAGGU
rnacentral:rRNA from 1 species